rnacentral:lncRNA from 1 species
AGAAGCACUCUAGCUACAGAUUAGAAUGAUGACAAGAGUAAUACCUUCCUAGUGAAGAUGACUUUUAUUUCAGGACUAUAUUAAGUUUCCCAACUUCUGUCAUGAUAUAGUCCAAAGAGAACCUGGACCACGCAGACAUCAAACAGAACAUGACACUGACCCAUUCUAUCAGUGACGUUGUGCUGAUUGCACAGGACAGAUGAGAGGCUCGUAUACUAGAAGUCUUGAUAACUUGUUUUCUAGUUUCACAUGUCCACAGAUGAAGAAAAAUUGUGCCCCAGCAAGGAUUAUACCCAGAGCCUCAUCCAUUCAUACCUGAUUUAGAUACUUAGAUGAUGAGUAAUAGAAAAGCAUCAUCUUUAUGUAAAUCACUGUACUUGGCUUCGUGAGAAAUAUAAAAAUGAAUUGCUUCAAUCCCUGGACUCAAGGAUCCUGUGUUACCAAGUCAUAUGAUACUUCAAAAUCUGUGAUUCCAUGAAGCCAAGAGUAGCUCUUCAACAGGAAAUGAAUGAGUGCUUCAGCUUCUGAUCCCAUUAGUAAGAAAAUACAGUCUUAUGAGCAAUGAUGGAGCUGCAUCUCUUAGGGGCAUUUGAUUCCCAAGAGACCAAAGAGCAAAGAGAAUGUCAAUUUAAAAAAAUCAAAUGUUUCCAUGACUUAGCUAUUUAACUGCUUUAAAAUGAAUGAAUGCUGCUUCAAGUUCUUUCAAAUACCCCACAUCUUGGCAACAACGAAAGGAAUUAACAUGAAGAAAAUUUACAAUCUUUCAUCACAUCGAACAAUGUCCCACAUUUGAAAAGUUCACAGCACAGAUUUCUGGUUACUGAAAGAAAGGAAAGACCUUCUUUGGAUUUGAAUAAACAGAUGGACUUUCUUCUCC